AUUAAAGUAACAAAGGGCACACAAGGGAUGCCUAGGUAGAAAGAGCCGAAGAAGGACGUGGUAAGCUGCGAUAAGCUUGGCGAAGUUGCAAACGAACGUGGAUGCCAAGAUUUCCGAAUGGAGCAAUCUGUAAAGAGUCAUGUCUUUACACGAAAGAGGGAACCGGGUGAACUGAAACAUCUAAGUAAUCCGAGGAAAAGAAAGUAACAACGAUACCCUAAGUAGCGGCGAGCGAACGGGGUAGAGCCUAAACCGUAUUCAUGUCAAGGAUGCAGCCGUUGUGGAUACGGGGUAGCGGGAAAGAGAGAGAAAGAACUGCAAGCUAUUUCGCAGACGUAAGCAAAGGAACAAGAAAGAUCUGGAAAGGUCUACCGUAGAAGGUGAAAGUCCUGUAUUGGUAGUUUUCUUGCGCUGUAUCUCUUCUCCCAAGUAAUGUGGAACACGAGGAAUUCUGCAUGAAUCUGCGAGGACCAAAUCUCGUAAGGCUAAAUACUCUUUCUAACCGAUAGCGCAUAGUACCGUGAGGGAAAGGUGAAAAGAACCCCGGGAGGGGAGUGAAAGAGAACCUGAAAUUGUGUGCUUACAAGCGGUCAGAGCCACUUCGGUGGUGAUGGCGUGCCUUUUGGAGAAUGAUCCUGCGAGUUACGUUUCAUGGCGAGGUUAAGAAGAACGGAGCCGAAGGGAAACCGAGUCUGAAUAGGGCGCAAGAGUCGUGGAGCGUAGACGCGAAACCCGGUGAUCUAAGCCUGUCCAGGAUGAAGCUGUGGUAAGACACAGUGGAGGUCCUAACCCACCGCCGUUGAAAAGUUGGGGGAUGAGGUAGGUUUAGGGGUGAAAAGCCAAUCGAACCGGGAGAUAGCUCGUUCUCUCCGAAAUGCAUCUAGGUGCAGCCUUGCGUGUUUAAUGAUGGGGGUAGAGCACUGACUGAACUAGGGGGCAUAUAGCUUACUGAAUUCAAUCAAACUCCGAAUACCAUUAUUCAAGAGCGCAGGAGUGAGACCAUGGGAGUUAACUUCCAUCGUCGAAAGGGAAACAACCCAGACCACCAGCUAAGGUCCCAAAUCAUAUCUAAGUGGGAAAGGAGGUGGAGAUUCUUAAACAACUAGGAGGUUGGCUUAGAAGCAGCCAUUCCUUGAAAGAGUGCGUAAUAGCUCACUAGUCGAGAGUCUCUGCGC
rnacentral:rRNA from 1 species